rnacentral:rRNA from 1 species
ACACGGUCAAUGACUUAGUAGCGGCGAGUGAGCGGCUUAGCUCAUAUUUGAAAUCUGCCAACAGGCCGAGUUGUAAUUUGAAGAAAGCAAUUCUGGAUGUGUCUUUGCUCCCGCUCCUUGGAAUACAACAUCAUGGAGGGUGAGAAUCCCGUGAUGCGAAGGUAGCAUAUCUAUGUAGAAUGUUUUCGACGAGUCGAGUUGUUUGGGAAUGCAGCUCAAAGUGGGUGGUAAAUUCCAUCUAAAGCUAAAUAUUGGCGAGAGACCGAUAGCGAACAAGUACUGUGAAGGAAAGAUGAAAAGAACUUUGAAAAGAGAGUGAAAAAGUACGUGAAAUUGUUGAAAUGGAAGGGCUUGAGAUUAGACAUGGUGUUUAGUGUUCCGCUUUCUUUUGGGAAUGUGUACUCGCUUUACACCGGGCCAGCAUCAGUUUUGAUGGGAGGAUAAAUGGUAUUGAAUGUGGCUGCUUGCAGUGUUAUAGCUUUAUCAAAUACUUCCAAUCGGGACUGAGGACCGCGCAUUUGCUAGGAUGCUGGCGUAAUGAUCUUAAGCCACCCGUCUUGAACAACGGAUCUUGG